rnacentral:rRNA from 1 species
UGCAUGGCUGUCGUCAGCUCGUGUUGUGAAAUGUUGGGUUAAGUCCCGCAACGAGCGCAACCCUUAUCCUUUGUUGCCAGCGGUUAGGCCGGGAACUCAAAGGAGACUGCCAGUGAUAAACUGGAGGAAGGUGGGGAUGACGUCAAGUCAUCAUGGCCCUUACGAGUAGGGCUACACACGUGCUACAAUGGCGCAUACAAAGAGAAGCGACCUCGCGAGAGCAAGCGGACCUCAUAAAGUGCGUCGUAGUCCGGAUUGGAGUCUGCAACUCGACUCCAUGAAGUCGGAAUCGCUAGUAAUCGUAGAUCAGAAUGCUACGGUGAAUACGUUCCCGGGCCUUGUACACACCGCCCGUCACACCAUGGGAGUGGGUUGCAAAAGAAGUAGGUAGCUUAACCUUCGGGAGGGCGCUUACCACUUUGUGAUUCAUGACUGGGGUGA